GACGAACGCUGGCGGUGUGCUUAACACAUGCAAGUCGAACGGUAAGGCCCUUUCGGGGGUACACGAGUGGCGAACGGGUGAGUAACACGUGAGUAACCUGCCCUCAUCUCUGGGAUAACAGUCGGAAACGGUUGCUAAUACUGGAUAUGAGCUUGCAAGGCAUCUUGUGGGUUGGAAAGAUUUUUUUGGUUGGGGAUGGACUCGCGGCCUAUCAGCUUGUUGGUGAGGUAGUGGCUCACCAAGGCUUCGACGGGUAGCCGGCCUGAGAGGGCGACCGGCCACAUUGGGACUGAGAUACGGCCCAAACUCCUACGGGAGGCAGCAGUGGGGAAUAUUGCACAAUGGACGGAAGUCUGAUGCAGCAACGCCGCGUGCGGGAUGACAGCCUUCGGGUUGUAAACCGCUUUCAAUUGUGACGAAGCUUUUUGUGACGGUAGCAGUAGAAGAAGCACCGGCUAACUACGUG
rnacentral:rRNA from 1 species